rnacentral:rRNA from 1 species
AAUCAACGCUGGCGGCGUGCCUAACACAUGCAAGUCGAACGCGAAAGUCCCGCAAGGGAUUAGUAGAGUGGCAAACGGGUGAGUAACACGUGGUGACCUGCCUUCGAGUGGGGACUAACGUCCCGAAAGGGACGCUAAUACCGCAUAACAUCCUGCCUUUGAAGAGGUGGAGAUCAAAGCUGGGGAUUCGCAAGACCUAGCGCUCAAAGAGGGGCCCGCGCCUGAUUAGCUAGNGGUGAGGUAACGGCCACCAAGGCUUCGAUCAGUAUCCGGCCUGAGAGGGCGGACGGAC